GUGCAGUGAUGACUUGAAUUUCUUCACCUGAUUCUUCCCUUGAUGGUUUUUGAGCUUUUUAACCCUGAGCAUU
ensembl:snoRNA SNORD36 Small nucleolar RNA SNORD36